AAAGUUACUAAGGGCGUACGGGGGAUGCCUAGGUACAUGGAGACGAUGAAGGACGUGGUAAGCUGCGAUAAGCCCCGGGUAAGUGCAAACAACUUUAAAUCCGGGGAUUUCCGAAUGGGACAACCCGGCUCGGGUUAUACCGAGUCACUCCCAUCUGAAUACAUAGGAUGGGUAGAGAAAACGGAGUGAACUGACACAUCUAAGUAACUCCAGGAAUAGAAAUCAAAAGAGAUUCCCUAAGUAGCGGCGAGCGAACAGGGAAGAGCCUAAACCAUUAACGUGCCAAGCCUGUAAGUAUUGCGCUAGUGGUGUUGUGGGAUCAUUUUGGAGCUAGUUACAGAUAGCUCGACAAGUCAAAAAAUCGUUGAUUAAUAGAAUGGAAUGGAAAGUCCAGCCAUAGAAGGUGAUAGCCCUGUAUAUGAAAAUCAUAGAUCUUGUUGAAAAUGACACCCGAGUAACGCGGGACACGAGAAAUCUUGCGUGAAUCUGCCAGGACCAUCUGGUAAGGCUAAAUACUCCCAUGUAACCGAUAGCGAACUAGUACCGUGAGGGAAAGGUGAAAAGUACUCCUAACGGAGAGUGAAAUAGAACCUGAAACCGUAUACCUACAAGCGGUCGGAGCUCCACUUUGGUGGGGUGACGGCGUGCCUUUUGCAUAAUGAGCCAGCGAGUUGCUCGUACGUUGCAAGGUUAAGAAUAGUACAUUCGGAGCCGAAGCGAAAGCAAGUCUGAACAGGGCGUUCAGUAGCGUGCGGCAGACCCGAAACCGGGUGAUCUAGCCAUGACCAGGUUGAAAGUGCGGUAACACGCACCGGAGGACCGAACCCACUUCGGUUGAAAACGGAGGGGAUGAGUUGUGGUUAGGGGUGAAAGGCCAAUCAAACUCAGAGAUAUCUGGUUCUCGCCGAAAUGCGUUUAGGCGCAGCGUUGUAUUAGUGUAUCGGGGGUAGAGCACUGAAUGGGCUAGGGGGCCUACAAGCUUACCAACCCCAAUCAAACUCCGAAUACCGAAUACAUGUUGUGCAGCAGUGAGGCUAUGGGAGAUAAGUUUCGUAGCCGAGAGGGAAACAACCCAGAUCAUCAGCUAAGGUCCCAAAAUUGAUACUAAGUGAUAAAGGAUGUGAAAUCGCCCAGACAGCUAGGAGGUUGGCUUAGAAGCAGCCAUCCUUUAAAGAAAGCGUAAUAGCUCACUAGUCAAGGGGUUUUGCGCCUAUAAUUUCCGGGACUAAGUAUUGCACCGAAGCUAUGGAUUCUAAUAGUUUACUAUUAGAGUGGUAGGUGAGCGUUCUAUUAACCUGUGAAGGUUGACCUGUGAAGGCAGCUGGAGGAGAUGGAAAUGAGUAUGCUGGCAUGAGUAGCGAUAAACACGGUGAAAUACCGUGUCGCCGUAAGUCCAAGGUUUCCUGAGUAAAGUAACUCUGCUCAGGGUUAGUCGGACCCUAAGCCGAGGCCGAAAGGCGUAGGCGAUGGAAAACGGGUUUAAUAUUCCCGUACCAGUUUUUAAUCGUUAUAACUAUGGGGGGACGCAGAAGUGAAAGGUCAGCCCGGUUUUGAUUGUCCGGGUUUAAGUGUGUAGAAGGGUUUGGUAGGUAAAUCCGCCGAACUAUUAACUUUGAGACACGAAUAGGAGGGCUUAGCCCAUAAACUGACCCUAAUCCUGCUGCCAAGAAAAGCCUCUGUGUAAGAUUAUAAACUGACCGUACCCCAAACGGACACACGUGGACGAGGAGAGUAUCCUAAGGCGCUUGAGAGAAUCCAGGUUAAGGAACUCGGCAAAUUAACCCCGUAACUUCGGGAGAAGGGGUGCCUUGAUUAAGUGAACACCCUUGCGGUGCAAGCUGAAAAAGGCCGCAGUGACCAGGCCCAAACGACUGUUUACUAAAAACACAGGUCUCUGCUAAAUCGUAAGAUGAAAUAUAGGGACUGACACCUGCCCGGUGCCGGAAGGUUAAAUGGAAGUGUUAGCUUCGGCAAAGCUCCGAAAUGAAGCCCCGGUAAACGGCGGCCGUAACUAUAACGGUCCUAAGGUAGCGAAAUUCCUUGUCGGGUAAGUUCCGACCUGCACGAAUGGUGCAACGAUUUGGGCACUGUCUCAACCUGGAGCUCAGCGAAAUUGAAGUGUCGGUGAAGAUACCGGCUACCCGCGGCAGGACGAAAAGACCCCGUGAACCUUUACUACAACUUAGUAUUGAAUUUUUGUUAUACAUGUGCAGGAUAGGUGGGAGGCUUUGAAGCUUGGACGCUAGUCCAGGUGGAGCCAUCCUUGAAAUACCACCCUUGUGUUGCGAGACUUCUAAUCCCGUCCCGUGAAUCCGGGCGAGAGACAUUGCUAGGUGGGUAGUUUGACUGGGGCGGUCUCCUCCUAAAAGGUAACGGAGGAACCCAAAGGUUCCCUCAGCACGGUCGGUAAUCGUGCGAAGCGCGCAAAGGCAUAAGGGAGCUUGACUGCGAGGCUGACGGGCCGAGCAGGUACGAAAGUAGGGCUUAGUGAUCUGGUGGUUCCGUAUGGAAGGGCC
rnacentral:rRNA from 1 species